rnacentral:rRNA from 1 species
UACGGGGGGAGCAAGCGUUGUUCGGAUUUACUGGGCGUAAAGGGCGCGUAGGCGGCCUCUGCAAGUCGACUGUGAAAUCUCCGGGCUUAACCCGGAAAGGUCAGCCGAUACUGCAGGGCUAGAGUGCAGAAGGGGCAACUGGAAUUCUCGGUGUAGCGGUGAAAUUCGUAGAUAUUCGCAAGAACACCAGUGGCGAAGGCGGCUCACUGGCCCGGUACUGACGCUGAGGUGCGAAAGCGUGGGGAGCAAACAGG